UAGGCGAGGGCUGUAGUUUGAAGCGUCUAAUUGUUACUUAGAAGAGUGUAAGUUUUAUUUGUCUAG
rnacentral:tRNA from 1 species